UUUGGUUUGAUGGUUUUGGUCAAGGGUGAUAUUGUGCUGCAGCAUUACGAGAAUGCAUGUGAUUUUGUGUUGGUUCUUGUUCUAUUUUGUUGGGUUUGCACAUUUUACAAUUUCUUUUGCUUACUGUAUUUCAUGAAUUACAACUCUUUUAUGGAAUAUAGCAUUCCUUCGCAGUUCAUGUCAUUUUGGUUUUCCUUGUCUGUAAUGUUAUGGAUUGUGUUGCUAAGGGUUUAAUGAAUUUUACAAACGAGAAUUGAAUCUCUUGUUCUCGAACAUAAUAUUUCUGUCGAUUUUCUUCCGAUUUUCCUUUCCAGGAAUUGUGGGACUGAAAGUUAGAAAUGAUGUUUUCUUGUUCUAACUCAUAUAACACUUUCAGUUUUGGCAAUUGAACUUGGGAAGCUGAACAAGUUGGUGAAAUUUCGUUGUGUUAUGGGAAAGCUGUCUGUGGGGGGAAGAAUACCGAAUAAAUUGGACACAAGGCCUCAUAGCGCAUACCUUGAGAACCAUGGAAAAAUCUGCCGUGAAAAGACAGGGCGUGAUCAAUAGUAGACAAAUAAAGGUUAUCGACAACGACACUGGGAAUCAUACGAGGCCUAUGCCAGGGAUGAUUAUUUUUUGGAUUCGCUGGACUGUGAACUCCAUCAACACACUUGUCAAUGUUUGUCACUUGGCUUUAAGUGGAGGCACUUUUCCGUUUUGCCAUUACUAAAUAGAUCAGAGAUAUUUAUAACAAGGAUUAUUCUGUAUAAUUGUUUUUGUACUGGGAUAAGAGGAAACUAUCAAUCAAGUCAUCAUAUAUGAAAAGGACGAGAAGAGACUGUUGAGAAAUGGAGGGGAUUAUGUUUAAGCUUUUUGAAAAAAAAACCAAUUGGACAUAAAGACAACUGAUCCUAGAGACAGACCAGCCCGGAGCUUUUACUUGUGUUGGUUUCUGUUACGAACU